AUGUAUUUUGGGAGCUCUCUGCCGGCUUCUGGGGGAUUUUCCACCCGUGCCAACUCGGAACCGAAAGUUAACUUCUUAAUUUCCUUUACCCCAGAGGAACCCGACGUGCUCUAUUUGCAAACCCGCCACGUGAAACGGGAAGUACAGCCAUUCGGAGGCCGUUGGCUUGUAGAAAAUGAGAGCGUAAUUAAAAAGAAAAAGACCAUAGCGGCAGUGGAAAGCGUUUCGCUGGGAACCCUUCAUUAUGGCGAUAGUUUUAAUUACCGUUCAAGCUGCCUGCUGGUGCAUUCAAGAGAUUCCCGAAACAAUUCUGUGUCCUUUCCACCAUCGAACGCAAUGCAUUCGAAUGGAGGGAGCAAGAGAGAGAGGAGGACACAUGUUUAAAGUUUCGCUGCUCAAUUCCUGCACCAUUUCAUAACGCCACAUCAGAAAAAUCAGAGCCAAACAGUGAUCUAAUCCGACUGACUCCGUACUGUCGGAGAAUCGGGGCUUGAUUACAAGAUGAUCAAGUCUCUCUCAACAACUUCUGAUUGCGAGAUGUCACUCACUCAUUCCUAUGCAAAUAUUACUUCUCAUGAUUCGUGUGGAAUUUUCUUGAUCUCGGUGUCUACGCUGUUUAUCUAGAGGUCUCAGCUCCACUUCAGCUUUGUCUGCUUUGAAUCUUUGUGGCACACACAUUUGAUGACACUAAGUAGUAUAUUUAAGGUGGAAGAAUUAGACCAAUGGCAUCAGUGCUUCCUAAAGAGGGAAACCAGAUGGAUGCAGUGGGUUUACUAUGUCUUUUGACCUAUCUUUCCCUCAGAAGCACUGAGGAAAUUCAUCCAUAAUGUAUUUAUUUAUAUUAAUGUUGGUCUCCCUCUCUAUUCUUUCUGACCUAACCUUCCCUCAGCAGCACUGAGGGAAGUUACCCAUAAUUUAUUUAUUUAUAUUAAUGUCGGUCUCCCUCUCUAGACUGUAAGCUCCUAGUGGGCAGGGAAUGGGUCUACUAACUCUGUGGUAUUGUACCCUCCCAAGUGCUUAGUACAGCGCUCUGCAUAGAGAAAGGGCUAAAUAAUUACCAUUGACUGAUGGAUGGAAAUGAUGAUCCACUAUCAUCAUCAUCAUGAGUAGUAGUUUCAGAGCACUCAGGGCAUUGCGCUUGAGUCAAAAAACCUACCAAUCAAUCAACACCAUCUCUGGGCAUCUACUGAGGAGUAGGCAUGGUUACCAAGACACUUGAAAGUCUACAAAAGUAGCAAGACAUCACUUCAGGGGCGAUGCCGGUAUUUUAGGAGUCAAUUUCCCCACGGGACAAAUCCACUUCCGGAGAAUUAAAGAACCGAGCCCUUCAGGAGACUGGGCUCCAGUAGUCCAUCGAUCAGUCGGUGGUAUUUAUUGAGCAUUUCCUGAGUAGCGGGCACUGUACUAAGCACUUGAGAGAGCACGAUAAACCGGAGUUGGUAGGCACAUUCCCUGCCCACAAGGAGCUUAGAGUUGAGGGGAGACGGACGUUACUAUAGAUCCCCGCUUCUUACGAAGGGGAGUGGGCUCCGCCACCUCUCUGGACCCUCCGGGGCUACGCGCUGCUCCUGCUAUAGAGUCCUGGAAGGCAGGAAGACAUUUCUGUGAUCGCCAUUUUGUCACUGACCAUGGGGAAACUGUGGCGGCAUGACCCUCUCCAAGACCUUUCAGACCCCCCGACGGGGAACGCCCGGCUCCGAUGGAGAGCCAUCUCCACCCAUAAGUCACUGAGAGGAAAAUCAGGCUGAUUAACUACCUAGGGCCUAUUAAGUCCCACGGACUACUAAUGGCUUGAUAGCAUUCGACACAAAAUUAGCCCUUUGAACUCUUCGGAAAUCCCUAAAAAACAAAAUGAAAGUUAUGGCAUUUCUAGAUCAGCUGUCUGUCCCACAAUUCUGGAACUGGAUGGUUGUCUUAGUCCCUGUCUGAUUUUUAAGUUCUUUUUCUCCUCUUGCUCUUUUGCACUGGGGGGAAGGGGAGAGAGAAGGAAGCACGAGGCUAAUAAUGAAAAUGUGAUUAUACUCCAGUGAGCAGUAGGAACUUUGUAAGAGUGAUUGCAACAUUAGUAAUGAAUGGCCUCGGCGGAUGACAGGCGAAAAUGAAUGCCGACGUCUCUUACUGGCUCAGAGCUCUAAAGGAGCCACCGGGACGCAGGUAGCCUAUGCGGCCGGAUGAUGAAUGUUUUCCAUUUCUUUCGAAAGUGUUGGAAGACCAAAACGGAAAUGUAUGCGUACAAAUAAGGAUAGACAGCUUGAGGAGAAAGUUCCCUCCCUGCUGAGAAUCCGUGCCGGGUUUCAGUGUCAUCGGACUGGGAUCACACACCCGUUUGGCCCUUGCAACCUCUCCACUCCCAAGCUGCAGCUCCCCGGUCACUGGCAAGCCCAACUCGCAUUCUAAUGCCCGCACCUUGAGGGAGGCCAUGUGCAUGCCUGCUGCCUUUCAUUCAUUCAUUCAAUAGUAUUUACUGAGCGCUUACUAUGUGCAGAGCACUGUACUGAGCGCUUGGAAUGUACAAGUCGGCAACAGAUACAGACCCUGCCCUUUGACGGGCUCACGGUCUAAUCGGGGGAGACGGGCAGACGAGAACAAUGGUAAUAAGUAAAGUCGAGGGGAAGAACAUCUCAUAAAAACAAUGGCAACUAAAUAGAAUCAGGGUGAUGUACAUCCCAUUAAACAAAAUAAACAAAAUAAAUAGGGUG
rnacentral:lncRNA from 1 species